CUGGGGCAGAGGGAGUUCCUGCAGCUCCUUCCUCCAGCUGCAGCCGGGGAGCUUUGAUUUCUGUCAGUUCUGAACCACCAUCAAAGGGUGGAGAACUCGUUUCUGCUUUAACUGUAGCCAAGGUGUGAUUGCAGGGGGAGCUGUAAACACAGCACUAUUUCUGCAGUGAGAAUACAACACGGAUCUCAGCUUUUGCAUGAGGGAUGCCCUAGAUCUGGCUGCAUCAGACCCUAGCUGCCAGCAGCAAUCCUGACCAGCCGUGAGAGCAGAGGCAUUAAGGAAGCCAUCUGUGAUGGUAGCUAAAAUGGGAACAGAAGAGGACUUGCUAUGAAACACUCCUCAGAAGCACUCCCUAAGGGCAUGCGCUGUGGUUCCUGCCUUGCCAGAAGCAGUCCAUCUCUGAAGGUUAUUCUCAAGAUGCACGGGGAACGCUCUCAUAUCCGCUGAGCAACCUACGUGUGUGAAGCCAGGGCUCCCCAGAGCAGGCCAAGGGAUCCCCACAGAACUCUUCAUAUGGUCCUUGAGGGCAAGAAACGAGGUGACAGGAGCCACCACGAGCACACUGUGCUGCUUGGCCUACCUCUGCAGAAGGCUCCUUCUCAUCACUUUGAAAAAUUUCAAGCAAAGGGCAGAUGUGGCACUGAGGGACAUGGUUAGUGGGCAUGCUGGGGAUGGGUUGAUGGUUGGACUUGAUUUUAGAGGACUAUUCCAACCUUAAAGAUUCUACGAAAUACCUUCCAGGUGUUGGCCCAGC
rnacentral:lncRNA from 1 species